rnacentral:lncRNA from 1 species
GGGUCUAGGGCUUUUCUUUCAUUGCCGUCUUCCCGUCAGCCUCCACUCCACACGACCACUCCAGGUGCUUCCCGUCUGCCGUGCCUCCCUCCGGCCACCGGCGCCGACCACCAGCUAGCGCCGCCGUCUGAAAUACUCACGACCACUCCAGGUGCUUCUCGGAUUUCAAGUUUUCAGAGUUUUCAACUCUGAAAUACUCUUCCCACCGACCACCAGCUAGCGCCGCCGUCUGCUACGAACCAGCGCCACCGUUUGGAACUAACCGGCGCCGCCGCUGCCCCCUAAGACAGCAGGUUAGUAUUUCCUUCUCACUCUCAAACUUGAUAGAUUAGAUAAUAAUGGUGGAUGGGUGUAUUUGUGAUACAUUCUGAUUUCUGAAAUGGAUUUAUGUAAUUAUGCCCCACCCCUAGCUAGUAAGCUCCGCCCCUGUUUGUGUAAGAACUUGUUGAUGGCAUUGUGUGUUGCUUUUCAAAAAAAUUGAAUCUUUUCAAAUUGUUCCAUUAAAAUCAUGAUGACAGAAUUGCUUUUGAAGUAUCAUGAGGUUUCAGAACAAGAUGUCUUGAUUCGAAAAUCAUUUGUUUUAACUUCAGAUUAAGAUUAAAUCAUAGCUGAAGUUUUAUCUGCUAGAUGCAUAUUUACUCCUUGCCAUAGUCUAAGUGUGGACUGAACAGAUGAAUUGGAGUGCAUGUUGAACUACUACAUUAGGAUUAGUAAAUUUCUACUAUAUAAAUCACAUGAAUUUUGUUUACUUUAAUUGUUGCCUAGGUUGGAAAUUCAUAAUUAUUAGAGUUGUUCUGUUUUUUUUUUUUUUAAAUUACAAUUCUCUAUAAAACAUUUUUUUGUUCCAAAUAAUUAUAGGUUAUGAGUUGGUGUACUGGAUAGGACUCCAUCCUUUCUUCUAAAGGUGAGUUCAAAUCCCACAUCCUACAAAAUUCAAUUUUUUUAAAAUUUCAUAAAAUACAAGUUAACCGGUCCAUUAACCGGUUCGGUUACCGGUUAGGAGAUUGCUCCUUAUCCGGUUCCGGUUAACCGGUAAACCGGUUCAAUUAAAAUCGAACCGUUUAACCGAACCGGACCGAUUACCAGCCCUAAAAAAUACACAUAAUUUGUCACUUUUCUGAUUUAUAAUAUAUUAAUAUGACCUUUUAAUUUGAUCAGAAAAUACACUACUUUUUAAUUUGAUUGUAAUUGUUAUAAAUCAAAAAAUUGGCAAACUAUGUGUAUUUUUUGGCAAUAGCCCCAUCAUUUUUUUUUUCCCGAUUAAAAUAUGUUGACCCUAAAUAUUUCGACACACUAGGUUUCAGGCUAGCCUGUCGAACCUGCAAAUUUACGAUUUUUUUACAUGUAUGAUUUUUUAUUGAUAAUCAUAUAAUUGUAAGAAAAAAUAGGCCUUGUUUUUUUUAGUCAAGACACUUCAACUCGUUUUAGAAUUUGAUAUUUUGGGCUAAUCAGUUUGUUUUAUUUUUCGAAAUAAAAUAUGUUGACUCUAAAUAUUUCGACCCACUAGGUUUCAGGCUAACCCAUCGGACCCGCAAAUUUAUGAUUUCUUUACAUGUAUGACUUUUUUUAGGGUAAAUAUCACUUUCUGUCCCAUCGUUUGUUCGAAUUAUUGAUUAUGUUUCAACUUUUCGAUAAUAUCUAAUUGGUACCCAACCUACCAACAUUUUUUUAAUUGUGUCCCUUAAAAAUUUUCCGACGCUCGGAAAUUGACGUGGAACGCUGGAAAUUUAUUACGUGGAAUUAUUAAUCCACUUGGAAUUGCCAACAUUAUUAUAGUACUUUAUUAUACUUAAAAAAAGAGUAAAAUAAUACAUCCCCUAAACUAAACGUCGUCGUAUCCAAUUCAUCAAAAUCCCAAAUCAAAGAACAUAUCCAGAAUUGCAGAUAACUUAAUAGUAAAUGCUCUUGAACAGUUCAAAUUCGAUUUGAGGCAUAAGCAAAUGGGCGGUUCGAAGAAGAAGAAGAAGCGGAGCGGUGGCAGAGGCCACCGCGCCCAGUCAAAGGACCAUCACUCGACUGACGCCGAUAAUUCUAAAAUUUUAACCAAGGAAGUAACUGCGUUGUGAGUUUUUUCUUAUUUUUGAAUUUUUAACGAACACAUUUUAUAUUAUUGUUGUUUUAAUCAUUCUAGUGAACUACUAUGUGUAGAUAUUUUGUUCAGUGAAUGUACGGUCAAUAGUUUGAGCUCCUGAAUCACCUCCUCGUAUCAACAUCAAGCUCAGGUUCCAGAUUUGUGAUAAUUCAUGGACAUUAAACCUUAGGCUUCAUGUACUUGGUGCAGAUGCUUACCAGGUUAUCCAUAUAAAUGCCCGAAGCUGCAGAUAAUACCAGAGAAAAAGCUUAUAAAAAACUAAUGCUGAUAAUCUUUUAUCUUUACUUUAUGAUCAUGUAGGACCUUAGUGAUAGCCAGAGGAGGAGGACGAUUACUAGAUAUGUUCUUUAAUUUGGGAUUUUGAUGAAUUGGAUACGACAGCGUUUAGUUCAGGGGAUGUAUUAUUUUACUCUCUUUUUUUAAGUAUAAUAAAGUAUAAUAAUACUGACAAUUUCAGGUGGAUUAAUAAGUCCAUGUAAUCAAACUCUUCGGGCGCCGAAAAUGUUUUAAGGGACACAAUUAAAAAAAUGUUGGUAGGUUGGGUACCAAUUAGAUAUUAUCGAAAAAUUGGGAUAUAAUCGAUAAUUCGGCCAAACGAUGGGACAGAAAGUGACAUUUACCCUUUUUUUUUUUAAUUGAUAAUCAUAUUAUUGUAAAAAAAAAGGCCUUGUUUUUUCAAUCAAGACACGACUUGUUUUAAAAUUGAAUAUACAUUUACAUAAUAACAUAAAUGACUAUUUUUCUAUGAUUUUUAUGUCAUAAAUAUUUAUUAUUAAUCAUUGGAGAAAUCCAAAAUAUAUUCCACAACAUCGAAAUCUUAUCGAACUAGAAAGUAAGUAAUAAAAUUUGAAAAUCAAUUAUAAAGAAAAAGUUCGGUUAAUCGGGACAACCCAUUUAAUUUUCGGGCUCGAACUAUUUUAUGUUCGUGUCAUUUGGACUGAAUUUUUUUUAGGCUAAAAUUUUUCAGUUUAAUCCUUUUUUUCCGAUCUUUUUGGGUCAGUUUCAUGUUGUUGUUGUUGUUGUUGUUUUUUUUUUUUUUUUUUUUGUAAUCAAAGUUUCAGGCUUUUAUUGAUAUCUCUAUAACCAUAAUAGUUGAAGCUUAUUAUUUGACGAAGUAAAAGGACGUUACGGACUGAAGUCUACACCCCUUGGAUUUCUCCCUAGGGUCGGAGCCGAGGCAACCAUUAUUUAGUAAGCUCCAUACUCACCUCUUUUCUGGUAAAUCAGUUAGUUGAAGUAUUUUGCCGCUGCUCUCUCUUGCAGUGUUUUGAUGGUGGUUUUACAUCUUCAGAUCGGAAACGACAGUCGCCUCCGGAAAUCGGGUGUGCUAAUAUAGUUGAUAACUGUAAGUAUGAUUAGAGCUUUCAACCACCAUUUUAUGUCUAAUUAUUGGUCUUGAUGUUUUGAGAUAAAUGUGAUUUUUGUGAUUGCUUUGAAACAAUUUUCUUGGUAGAUUGUGAUAAAUGAUUGUUUUACAAAUGAAUUUCUGCCGCUUGUGGGGAUAUUCUUGAAUUAUUGAUCUAAUCAGUUGUUCGAUUAUUUGAAGCUGGAUUGAGCUGCUUCAUUUGCAUUCUUUUUCAGCGUGUGUGUUGUAGGAAGAUAGAUCAAGACUUAGAUUUCGAGUUGAAGGAACUUUAUGAAUGAUACCAUUAAUCAAGAUAGAAAUAGUGCAUAAUUCUAAUUAGCCUAGAACACUUACCAGUUACCAUCUAUUUUUAGGAAACGAUUGAAGUAAACUUGGUCAGGUUAGAAAUCAUUUCUUUUGGGAGAUAGUCAGUGUAUCUAUCUUCUUGCAAUAGUGCGUUUGCAUUAAUUUGUGCACAUUGCCACACAACUAUCUAGCUUCCACAUCACUCAUUGUUAUUGUCGCAAAGCUGGAGUUUUCACUUCGUGAUGCACUCCUCAAGAAACUGGAUCUGCUUUGCAGGAAGAAUCCAGGUUUCUUGGGUUGAGGCAACACGAUAUCCUCACUACUUAACAUCAGAACCACAGACGGCAUCAUUGGCCUCUCGUCUGCUGCAUUCUGGGCACAUAAUAACCCUAUUUGGAUGCACCUCUUUACUUGGGGUUCCACGCACGAAUUUUUGUAGCUUGGAUCGAUCAUCUCCAACUCUCUAUUUUCCUGCCAAAGUAGCCAUGCCUGCGACAAAUAUAUACAUUUUAUUUUGUAUUAAGUGGAUGCAAACAUAACAAGGUUUUCAAAGGGAAACACACUCUUUAUUUUGUGAGUUUGUGUCUUUGGCACUAAAGAGCAACAUAAUAUAUUAGUUCACCUGUUCGAGAAGGUUCUGAUAGCAACAAGGAUGCUUGAAGCCUCUAUUCCUUUUCCCACUCACAAUCUCCAAUAUUACUACUCCGAAGCUAAAUAUGUCCGACUUGAAAGAGAACUUUCCAUCAAAUGCAUACUCCGGAGCCAUGUAGCCGCUGUUAAGAGAUCUUAUGCAUUAUGUUCUAUGAAAAGAUUAUGUAUACAUGACUACUUUUGUGUUUGUGUGUGUGUGUGUGUGACACACUUACUAUGUCCCAACAACUCGUUUUGUUCUUGCUGUAGUCUGAUCGCCUUCAAUCAUUCUAGCUAGUCCAAAAUCUGAGAUCUUCGCAUUUAAAUUCUCAUCUAAUAAGAUAUUGCUUGUUUUUAGGUCCCUGUGGAUGAUUUUUACUCUGGAAUCGUUAUGGAGGUAAACCAUACCCCUUGCAAUCCCCAUGAUGAUAUCGAAGCGCUUUGGCCAAGUCAAUAGUGGCCUUCUUUCUUGAUCUGCAUGUGUUGAAACAUGAAGAGUAUUACUAAGGUAAAAUAAAUCUUUGAUCCUCUUGGAUAGAGUAGACACUGUAGAAUGAUUUUCUUGAAAUUAUUGUCCAAACCAAAUAUGAAAUAGUCCAAGCUUUUGUUCUGCAUGUAUUCAUAGAUCAACAUCUUUUCCUCCCCUUCAAUGCAGCAUCCUAGGAUUCUGACCAGGUUUCUGUGCUGGAGUUUCGCAAUCAAAAUUAAUUCGUUUUUGAACUCUUCAGGGCCUUGUCCAGAAUUCUUUGACAUUCUUUUCACUGCAAUUACUUGCUCUGCUGAUAGUAUUCCCUGCAGCAGCCAUAUGAAAAAAAAUCAAAACUCAAAACAAUACAUAUUAUUAUGCCUAUAAGCAAGUAUCAAUAUAUAUGCAUCAUUUAACAUAAUGUUUUUACCUUGUAAACAGGACCAAAACCACCUUCUCCGAUCAUGUUCUCUUUCGAGAAGUUAUUCGUGGCUGCUGCAAUAGCUGCCAGAUCAAAUAGAGGUAACUCCGAUAACUCUCUUGUCUUCCUAGAAGCUGUCAUGGGAGUUUCACAUUUGUUUCAGUGGUCAAAAUAUAUGCCUUGUAUCACAUGUCAUUCUAUAGAAAGGAUCAGUGCUGCUACCUUCUCUUUUGCAUCUCAUCUUAAGAAAUAAGCCCAAGAUGAGCAUUCCGAAACUAGAAGCAGCAGCUGCAUAUAUGAUCUUCAUCUUGGCAUGCCCUUUCCUCCUCUUCUCCCAAUCUGGUUCAAGUUCUAAACAAUAAGAAUCAGCUAUUAGCUCUUGGGCUUGCUUCCUUAAUUCAUUCAAGAUUUGCAGUUCCUGAGCUUUACUUACCUGUUUCUGAAACUGGCACGCGAAUGUAGAUAUUUGGCCCUCCACCGGGUUCUACAGUCUGCUCCCUUGUAUCGAUCAAGUCCCCAAACCACAUCAAGCAGCUUGUCUCAUUCUUGAAGUAGGGAUCACCAUAAGCACUGCAGGUACAGUUCUUCAAGCAUUCAUCAUGGCAUUCACCAAUGCUCAUACGAGUUUCCAAUUGAAAACUCAGUGAAUCAGGAAUCUUGAGUCCUUCAACUUUCAGAAAACCAUCUUCCACUUGGCAAUCUAGUGUCAAAUUUCUGGUACAUCCACUGCUCCAGUUAAAGUUUCCCCAUUCUUCGUCAGAUUUCGGCUUGAAUCCCCUCAAACACUCACAAACUGGUGUCUUGUUAAUUUUACAGAUACCAUUGGCACCACACAAGCCAUAAUUGUCACACAAGUCCCGUGGCCCUGAAAUCAUAAGAAUCCAGCCAUCAUUCUCUUCAUUCAUCACAUAGCGUUGAGUUGAUCCUGAGUAGUUCAUGAUUAAUCUUGUGUUUAUUGAUUCUUUGAAGGGCUGAAAUAUGGAAACCAGCUUUCCGUUGUUGGUUUCAAUCGAAGUUUUCCACUCUU